CAACAAGGCAGGUCCAACAGGCCCUAGUUUCUACCUUAACAACACUAUCAACAAGGCAGGUCCUACAGGCCCUAGUUUCUACCUUAACAACACUAUCAACAAGGCAGGUCCUACAGGCCCUAGUUUCUACCUUAACAACACUAUCAACAAGGCAGGUCCUACAGGCCCUAGUUUCUACCUUAACAACACUAUCAACAAGGCAGGUCCUACAGGCCCUAGUUUCUACCUUAACAACACUAUCAACAAGGCAGGUCCUACAGGCCCUAGUUUCUACCUUAACAACACUAUCAACAAGGCAGGUCCUACAGGCCCUAGUUUCUACCUUAACAACACUAUCAACAAGGCAGGUCCUACAGGCCCUAGUUUCUACCUUAACAACACUAUCAACAAGGCAGGUC